CGUAGUGUUUGCAUGCGCGGAUCGUUGUUAAUUGUAGACGCGUACCUAUUUGAAAUAAUAUAAUCGUCGAAUCAUUCCCAUAGGUGUUCGCCGAAAACGUUUGGUUUAUUAUUGAUAGUGAACCAACGAAGUAAGUACCGAUCUCCAGCGUAUGAAUGGUAUUUACGGCCGGGGCACUUACCCACACACGACGAUCUGACUGGUGAAUUUCUUGAAAGA